AUCUGCCUCCGCCCCAGCCUCCCACCCACCCCUGAGCACGACUUCCCAAGUGUCAGUACUGCUGGGGACGAGGCAGGGUGGCCCCUCUCCUGGGUGGCUUCUAUUCUAGCACAGGAUAGUGGCAGCCAAGAGGAGAGUAAGUAAGACAGUCUCAGCUAAAGGUACGGGCUACAAAAACCGUGGAGGUCAGUCUGGCAGUCCUCAGAACUUUAAAUGAGCACCUGGCUUGGCUUCCUCCCGAGAUGCAUGCCCCAAGAACUGCAGACAGGUGUUCAAACGAAACCUGGACGGGGUGUUCACUGGCACUGUUCGCGCAGCCAGAUGGUGGAAGUGACCCAGGUGUCCACAGACGGGGAGCAAAUAAACACGGCGUGGCCUAGCCAUCCAAUGCAGCUCACUCAGCUCAGACAGGGACGCAGGUUUGACACAGGCGACAGCUCGGACAAGCCCCGGGGACACUGUGUGGACUGGAAGCAGCAGCCACAGAGGGCGGCAUGUCGUAGGAUGCGUGGAAAUGUCCAGGACAGUUGGUUGAAGAUGCAGAUGCACAUACAGAGGGCUGACCAGACACGAUUCUAAAAACUGGGGCGAUAAAUCUUCUGCGUCCCCCUCCCCAGAGACAACCAUGUGCAGAUUUCUUGUCAUCCACCCCCUGUGCAUUCCCAGUGGCUCAUGUGGCUAUGUCCUGCCCUACCGUUCACAUGCACCGUCUACACUGAGCUUAUGCCACUGAACCAUGUGUCCAGAUGACAAAGGACAGAGACCUUUCACAGUGAGGGUGACUCCCAUGACUCCUAACUGAGGAUGGUUUCCAGGCUUUUGCUCCAUCAAUUGAAGGAAUAUUUUAUUAACAUGCACAUGAGAACAAAUUCCCAGCAGCAAAACAGCUUGUGCUAAUUCUCUCCUUAAGCAUUUGUGUUUUACUAAAACAAGUUUAUUUAAAAAGGAA